GCGAUGUCUAAAAGCAGCCUAAUAUAUCUGAAAGUGGUGUCGUUUCAGAGUGGAAAACUAGAUUAGAUGAGCCAUAUAAUCGACUUCUGUGUAUAUUUCCUUGGCUUGUUCCCAGGCAGCUGUGCACAGGGUUGCUGCUUUAAGUCCUGUUAACCCUUCAAAAGUCUAGAUGCCAGCUGAAGAGCCAACCUUCUGAACACUCAUGCUGCUUAGAUCUUAUGUUACUUCGGACUUCACAAGUAAUUUCCCAAGAUACCCCCUAAAUAAUUCUUAUUUUUAUUCCCUGCUUCCUUUUCAGAUACAGACUGCGGCAUGACUCCGUUGAGCUCUCCUGUUCCGUUUUUGGCUGUGCAGGAGAAGCUGCUGUGCUCCUCGUCAUCAUUUUUUAAUUCAUCAGGAAAGCAUUGGGAGCCGCAAAAUCAGAGUUGUUGAAUGAUCCCAAAGGUACCUUGAACAAACUGAAGAUCUACAUCAUGAGCUGGUACACAGUGAUAGGAAGUAUAANUCAGAAACACCCAGAGGGUAAGUGAGCCUUUUAGAUCUAAACCCAAGUGGUGACUGGUGGAGCAGACAAGUGAGACAACUGAAAGGAAGUGGUCCAAAGAGUCAGCAAAUAUAGAUGCAACAGCUGUUCAAGCAUCAUGAAGUUGCAGUCUUACCCAAACUCACAUGAAAAUACUGGCNUAUCUAAAAUGUUGCUGAAUAUUCCACAUCAGUUAAUAGAAUUCGUCGAGAUCGUUAGUUGAUAUUUGAUCUCUCCUGUGCGUGCUUUUAUGUUUAUUUGUUUGUUUAUUAUUUCUACUUCUAACNUGCCCUAUACCAGAAGGUCUCAGGGCAGGUCAGAAUAAAAUCACAGUAAAAC
rnacentral:lncRNA from 1 species